AGGACGAACGCUGGCGGCGUGCUUAACACAUGCAAGUCGAGCGGUAAGGCCUUUCGGGGUACACGAGCGGCGAACGGGUGAGUAACACGUGGGUGAUCUGCCCUGCACUCUGGGAUAAGCCUGGGAAACUGGGUCUAAUACCGGAUAUGACCUGCUCUCGCAUGGGGGUGGUGGAAAGAUUUAUCGGUGCAGGAUCGGGCCCGCGGCCUAUCAGCUUGUUGGUGGGGUAAUGGCCUACCAAGGCGACGACGGGUA
rnacentral:rRNA from 1 species